rnacentral:lncRNA from 1 species
UGAACACUAUCAAGGCUGCUCUGUGGGCCCAGCACUCCAGCAAAUGAAUAGAAACAUAAUGUUCCUGCCAAGCUGAUUUAUCUAUCAUUUAACCAGAGUGAGCGAGAGAAGAAACAAACAGUGGGAGAAGAUGUCUCACACACACUGAAGUUAGACCACUGCAAAACUGAGCCAGACGGCUUUGUUGUGCAGCUUUCUGAUGCCUCCAGGGGACAGCUGCUUAUCGGAGGGAGACUAUUGUGGGGUUGGGGCUGGAGAUGUUCCAUGCAGCAUCCUGCAAGGGGAAGCAGUUACUUUAUGAGAGCGAUGCUUCAACCAGCUAACUGGAUAGCCCUCCCUUUUGCAGCUGGUGUGGGUGAAGAUGUGGAAGCUUGAUUCUCCUUGGAAGCUCUGAUCACCCCAGCCCAGAACCACUAGUCCCCACUUAGUCUUGGAGAGGAGGCAAGGAUGUGUGUCCUCUGCGUGUAGCCUUACGGUCUGCAAAUGCUUAUGAAAACCUAUGAAAGAGAGACUACUCAUUUUCGCUCCAUUUUAGAGAAAAAAAAAAAAACCUGAAGCUUAGAACAUUUAAGAAAUUUUCCCUAAAUCCAUCUAGCUAGCAAGAAGUGGGGACAAAAUGAGAGUCCACUUGGCUCUCAGAUCCAGCCUCAAGUACCUUUGAGAGCCACAGGGGUUGCACAACAUGGACUUCCUCUGCUAGAGUGGGAAGACAGUCUUUUUUACAUGAAAAAAUCAGGAUAGGCUGGGCGCAGUGGCUCACACCUGUAAUCUCAACACUUUGAGAGACAGAUCACUUGAGGUCAAGAGUUCAAGACCAGCCUGGCCAACAUGGUGAAACCUCAUCUCUACUAAAAAUACAAAAUUAGCC